AAUAAACGCAGUUUUGCACUGUUUAUGUCCAACGUUUGAUUGUUUGUCUUAUUUAAAUUUUUUUUUUAUGAUUAGCAUUUUUAUUGUUAUUAGAUGAUAAAAUAUGAAUAAUACUGUAUGUGUAACUAUUUUUUAAAAGUUUAUUUUCAUAAAAUUUUCAAAUAAGAUGGACGGUUAAACGUUGGACACGGAUACCAUGGCUACACCUACU
rfam:Oryza sativa (indica cultivar-group) chromosome 11, whole genome shotgun sequence.